CGGGUGUAGUUUAAUGGUAGAACUCCAGCCUUCCAAGCUGAUCACGUGGGUUCGAUUCCCAUCACCCGCUCCAA
rnacentral:tRNA from 1 species